rnacentral:rRNA from 1 species
UACAGAGGGUGCAAGCGUUGUUCGGAAUUACUGGGCGUAAAGCGCGUGUAGGCUGCGAUGUAAGUCAGGUGUGAAAGCCCUCAGCUUAACUGAGGAAGUGCACUUGAUACUGUGUCGCUUGAGUGUCGGAGGGGGUGGCGGAAUUCCCGGUGUAGAGGUGAAAUUCGUAGAUAUCGGGAGGAACACCAGUGGCGAAGGCGGUUCUCUGGGCAUUAACUGACGCUGAGGAGCGAAAGCAUGGGGAGCGAACAGG